CCUACGGUGGGCAGCAGUGGGGAAUAUUGGACAAUGGGCGAAAGCCUGAUCCAGCCAUGCCGCGUGUGUGAAGAAGGCCUUCGGGUUGUAAAGCACUUUCAGUGGGGAAGAAAGCCUUGGGGCUAAUACCCUCGAGGAAGGACAUCACCCACAGAAGAAGCACCGGCUAACUCCGUGCCAGCAGCCGCGGUAAUACGGAGGGUGCGAGCGUUAAUCGGAAUUACUGGGCGUAAAGCGCGCGUAGGCGGUCUGAUAAGCCGGUUGUGAAAGCCCCGGGCUCAACCUGGGAACGGCAUCCGGAACUGUCAGGCUUGAGUGCAGGAGAGGAAGGUAGAAUUCCCGGUGUAGCGGUGAAAUGCGUAGAGAUCGGGAGGAAUACCAGUGGCGAAGGCGGCCUUCUGGACUGACACUGACGCUGAGGUGCGAAAGCGUGGGUAGCAAACAGGAUUAGAUACCCGUGUAGUC
rnacentral:rRNA from 1 species